GUUCUUAUGGUGUAUGUUUAACACACUACAUUUUCAUUGUAGAGAUAAGUAUAUUAGUGACUUUAAGAAUA
rnacentral:tRNA from 1 species